rnacentral:misc_RNA from 1 species
CGCACCUUGCGCCCCAUGGUAUUCCACGGGGCACGCCUGUUUGAGUGUCACGAUUACCAUCGUUCCAGAGGGAUGUCAUCGUCCCUCUGGCGCGGAUUUGGACGCUGCCGUAGAGGCUCGUCUCGAAAUGCAUUAGCCGUCUGAUUGACGCCGCCCUAAAGGUGUGAUACUCUGUUCUCUUGAUCGCCUGGAGGGUUGACGUAGGUGGCUCAUAAAUCGCCUUCGGGCAACGUGAUUAAAGCUUUGGCCUCAAAUCAGGUGGGACUACCCGCUGAACUUAA